GGACUACUGGGGUAUCUAAUCCUGUUUGCUCCCCUAGCUUUCGUGCCUCAGUGUCAGAAGUCGUCCAGGGACUCGCUUUCGCCACUGGUGUUCCUCUCGAUCUCUACGCAUUUCACUGCUACACCGAGAAUUCCAGUCCCCCCUCCGACUCUCAAGCCAGAUAGUAUUCAAUGCAGUUUCGGGGUUAAGCCCCGAGAUUUCACAUCAAACUUACCUGGCCACCUACGCACCCUUUACGCCCAGUGAAUCCGAACAACGCUUGGGACCUCUGUAUUACCGCGGCUGCUGGCAC
rnacentral:rRNA from 1 species